CCGUACAGCCCCUUGGGAGUAGGGGGUGUGCAGCCUACUCGUCCCGCCCCUGCCUCUGAGUGACAGGACCGUGGACAGCAACAUUUCCAGCAGGACACGAAGUUUGUCGGCCCUUGCCUUGGCUGAGCUAAGUAAGAAAAAGCAACCAAGAACAUUGUUAUUGGUAUCUGGAAUUGAAUUUGCCAGGAAUGCAAGCACGGCUUCUUCAGUAAAGAUCUUGCCUUUGGAAACAUCUUACCCCUUGGCAGCUCUCCAGAGUUCAGACUUAGCAGCAUCAAGGACACAACACAAGACUACACAUCCAAAAGGUGUUGGUAGGAAAGCUCAUGUACUUCCAUGACCCAGAUGCAGCAGUGGGAAGAGAGUGGCUAAUUAUGCAGUGACACACUGGUCAUAACAAAUUUCAAAAGGGGGACUAUGAAGUGCAAUAUUGUCUCUACCCAGAGGGAAAGGAGAUUUGGAAGAUAUCAGGCAUUUUGGAGAUCAAAGAUGGGUAGAAAAGAUGCCUCCACUGUAAAACUUCCUGUUGAUCAGUACAGAAAGCAAAUUGGUAAACAAGAUUAUAAAAAAACCAAACCUAUUUUACGAGCAACCAAAUUAAAAGCAGAAGCAAAGAAAACAGCAAUAGGCAUAAAGAUCACUGUCCUUGACAACCAAGGUAGAAAAAUCAUCAGACCUUAUCAGAUCUGUUCUCUGCUUGUCAGCUGUCAGCAUUGUGCAAUCGGACCUGAGCCACAGGCAAACCUGGACCUUCCCUGCUCUUAUGUGGGAUAUCAGUGGACAGGAAGGAUAUGCUAUCAUUUUGUGCCAGUUUGUAGACAGACAUGGAAGGGAGCAUUUUCUGAUGUAAAAAGGUUAAUGCCAACAAUGCAGGUGAAGGUAUAGAAGUUUGAUGAAGCGAGUGGAUAGAAAGAGUGAAAAAAAGAAAUUGGAGAGGAAGGUGAAAGAGAGAGGAAACUCCUAAAAGACGGCAUGUCACAGAUUUCUGACCAUGGGGUAUAAUUGUAAAUGUGCUGAGGACCAAGAGGACCUUUGCUUUUUCAUAUGAAACAGACAGAUGUAGCUGAUGCUGCUACCCUUUCCUUCACUUUUUCCUGCCUUGAAUAUGGCUAUGAGGUCAGGAGUUUCAGCAGCCAUUUUAUGACCAUGAGAUGACAAGUGUGAGGAUUAAAAGCAACCCACUAACCAUGGAUAGAGGAAAAACAGAAUAAACCCGGGUCUCCAUUGGCAUCGGUGGACAGCUGAACCAAGGUAAAUAAUUGUCUACCACUAAAAUCUUUGUUAUUGAACUUACAUUGUUAAAACUGUUAGUAGAAUCUUCUAUUAUUUGAAAUCAGAAGCGUUCCUAACAGAAAUACAUGGCGUACAUUGCCUACCAUAAUUCUCCCACCUUCCAGUGAUAUCCGUGUUCUUUGAGUUCCUAAAAUGUUCAUCCCUGCCUUGGUGACUCCUAUCAUACCACCCAAUCCCCCACCCUCACACUUCACCUAGCUAAUGCCUUCUCAGUCUCCAAAUCACAGUUAAAAUGUGUCCAAGAGACUUUCUUUGAUCCCUAGAGUAGGUCAUCUCCUUCAGUUACAUACUCUUGUAACUUCCACUGAUUGUCUUUCUUGGUACACAUUUGAAGCACAUAUUCAUCCGCAUAGGUAUUUAAUAAUAUUGUCUUUUCCACGAGAGUGUUCAGGUUGAAGCUAUAUUGCUUACUAUUGUCUGCCCAAUUUUUAGCAAACAGCAUGGCAUUGAAUAAGCAUUGAGUUACUUCAAGGAAGGAAAGAAAGAACAAAAGAAGGAAGGAAGAAAGUUCAUGUGAACUAAAAUCUCAAAUCUGAAGUUAAACUUGGGCUUUCCUUUGAAUUUUUAGCUUUCUAUCUCAUGAUAGUGGUAUUUCCCCUGCCAGGUAAGUAUUGCUUUCUAUCUUACAUGUGAAAAAAAAAAAGAAAGAAAGAAAGAAAGAAAGAAAGAAAGAAAGAAAGAAAGAAAGAGCCUAAAGUGAAUGGUCUGUGUUUUUGAAACCCAAUACAAAAGCAUGAUAAUGCACUCUGUUGCAGAAAGUGUUAAAAGAAAAAUCCAUUAUUCCUUUAUUAUUUUGGUUUCAUUUGAUCUCAUUUAAUUUUGUCAUUACAAAAAAAGCAAAAAACAAAAACAACAACAACAUUGAGUUCACGUGUUCUACUGCAGAUUGGUGUUUGAUGCAUCACUGUCAGAGAGCCAGGAAUGGGAAAAGUGAUCAGUUUUGACAUUGGAUUUCAUGGCUUGCUAAGGAUCCAGUAGACUCCCAGAAGUUUAUGCACGGUCUAUAAGGGGCCAUGAAACUCUCUGAAAUUAUAUACCAAAUUUUGUAUGUACAUGCAUUUUUCUAGGGAGAGAGGUUAGAGCUUUAAUCAGAUUUUCAAUAUGGUUUUAGUUAAGAAUAGGUUAAGGUUAAGAAUCACUGGGUUAGGUUACUAAAUAUAGUGGUGGUUUUGGAAAUCAAAAGUUAUAUACUUUUUAAAAAGAUUAACUUAUAGGUGUUUACUAUAUGCAUAUUUGGGGGAAAUGUACUUGUAGUAUAAAUAAAUCCAUGUUUUAUGGGGUUUUUUAAAGAUAAUCGGAUCAAUUAAUCAAUCAAUUUGUUAAUCUGCCACUUUGCAAUGCACUAAGAUAAUGACACUUCUUAUAUAUCACUGUGCUAAGCUAAUUAAAUGCAUUAUAUCACUUAAUUUUUCUAGCAAAUCUACAAAACUGCUAUUAUUAUCCUCCUUUCCCUAAUAAAGGAAUACAGUCUCUGAGAUUUCCAAUAACAUGCUCACUGCAGGGUGAGCUGAAUGCAGGGAGAAAGUAAAGUAAUAUAUUUCCAGCCUUCAUGAAAACCAAGACUUGUGUAAAUGAGAAAAUAGUGAUCAUUUGAAAGUAAUGUGUUGAUAAUGGCCAGAGAUACAGUAAAUGAUAUUAGUAAUAAUAAGCACUCUAGGAUUUAAAAAAGAUCCUUGGGGAUUCUGUCUAGACUGUGAUCACUGGUUAAAAGCUGAGUAGAAGACAAAAAGAGAAGAUUUUAAUCAGGAUCAGGAUCAGGAUUUAAUCAAGAUCGGGACUGACAAGAUGAGUCAAGGGGCGAAGGAGUCUGGCUGAGCUAAGCAGUGGACUCUUGUUGGAGCAAGGGUAGAUAAGGUUGGAAAGGACGUCUGGGAGUAGUUUGACAGUCUUGUGUACUAAACUAAAACGUUUGACCUUUGCCCUUAGAUAAUGAGAACCACUUGAAGAGUGUUUUGAGCUGGAAGGUGACAUCAUGCAAACUGUUUUUAGUAAGAUUAAUUUGGUACCAGUCCCCUGGAUGGACUGGGAAUAGGCAAGACCAGAACAAGGUGGUUCAGCCAGAAAAGCAUGGAGAACUGAGAGAAACAGUGAUGUGGAUGGAAAGAAGGGAAGAAGAGGAAGGGAAGGAUUUGAAAGGCAAUCCCAGGAACAGCUGAUUUUGCUCAGUGUAACUGUCUGUUUAAAAAUGGGCCUUCCCAUAAAAAAGGGGAGAGCAAGCAGGAGGCUCCACAUUUGUGAAGUUGGACUCUGAAGGAGCUCCUUAUACCUCAUCUCCACCCCUUUCAAUCUCUACUUCUCCUUCUUUUGCGUUCUGAGUUACCUCUAUUUUUGUCUCCAUUUUUGAUUCCUAGACUUGUUCAACAGACUUAUUUUAUUCCUGUUGAAGGACAAGCAUUCAUCUAAUGCUAGAAAAACAGUAAUAACCAAGAGACGCAAGGCCUUAGCUAUGAUGGAGCUCUCAUUCUAUCGUUGAUAGACAGUCACCAAGUAAACGAACACAUCCACAAGGAAAAAGGCAGAGAAUUAAAAUAAAGUAAUGUGACAGACAAUGGCUGGGGGAAAUGUAGUCAGAAUGUUAAAGUGGCCCUUCUGAGAAAGUGACAUUUAAGCAGAGAUUUGAAUGACAAGAAGCAGACAGCCAUACAAAAUAUUGGUAAAAUAUUUUUUUAGUGCUCUGUGUACAGGACACAGUGCAAUGGCCCCAAGACAGAAAUGAACUUGGCUUGUUCCAGAAGCAACAAAGGGACAGUUGGCUUGAAUGUGGUAAGGCACAGUGAAAGUGGAAGGAGAUGAUGUCUGAAAGGUAAGUGGAGACAGGAUGAGAUAAGGCUGGGUAGGCCACUGUAAUAAGUUAGGGUGUUGGCAUUGUAAUGAGUUAGGGUGUUACUCUACUUGGGAAGGAAAACAAUUGGAAAGUUUUCAAGAGGAAUGGAAGAUAAGAGCUAAUUUCCAUAUUUAAAAGAUCACUCUGCUGCUCUCUGGAAAAUUGAUCACAAGGGCCAGAGGAGAGGCAGGGAAAAGAUAGGGAGUAUAUUGCUGUAGUUCAGUCAAGAAGUCACUGUCAGAGGAGACUUGACCAGAAGUUUUACAGAGAGUAGUAGAGAACUGUUGGGAAUUGGGAUGUAUUUUGAAGUCAGAGUUGGUAAUUUUUACUGAUGGGUUGGGUGUGGAUAAAGAAAGAGCAGAAUCCCAAAUAAGUCUUAGAUUUUUGACUUCAGCAUAAACAAUGAAACUAGGUAACUGGAAAACAUUAAGACUGAGUUGGGGGCAAACAAAUUUUUCCUCUCUUGGCUAUGUUAAAUUCCUCUCUUCUGCUCUAUUAGGUUCCAGCCUGACUUUCUCCUCUUUGCAUAGAAAGUUGAUGACUUAGUAACACCAUUCCCUUGAAAUAUCUCCCUCCCUCACCCUACCAAGAUGGUCAGCUCUUCUGUAUUAGAUUUGGGGGAAGUCUUGACUUCAUGGACUGACAUUGACAGGUAGCUCAUGGUGGCUGGCAGACAGGUGAGGGCAAGCAGCAGGGGUGUUUGAGAUAUUAAAGAGGACUGUAGGGUGUUAAAACUUAAGGUAUUUUAAGGUUUAGGCUUGGAGGAUGGGAUUGCAAUGGAUAGACCUCUGGAUAUCAAGAGAGGAGAAGUAGAUAUAUUUGACAACAAUCUGAGAUCAAAACCGGAAAUUUUCACCAUAAUAUUUUACAUGAGUUAGAGAUACACUGUGUGGAAAGUCCUGUAUUCCUGCUCUACAAAGAAACAUAUUGUGUAGAGUCAGUCUGGUUGCCAGAUCAUUGAUCAAGAAAUCCACAUAAACAUCUGAACUUUAAAAAUGCUCUGAGCUUUCAGAAGUUUGUGCCAAUUUAAUUAUUUCACUAAUAUUCUUUUAUGUUAGCAUCCAUAUAUCAGUAAGAAACCUUAUUUACAGAAUUCACCAGCAGGCUUUAAAUGGGAAGCAAUUAAAGGUUGAGCCCACUUACAGAAAUGGAACGUUCAUGUAACUUUUGAGGAUCACAUCCAUUACGUUAAAUAAAAUACAACUGUGUGAAGGGAGUUGUGUUGUUUAGUGAGGAAUUUUGGACCAAUAUCUCCUGAUUUGUUUAGAGAUUUGUGGAGGAGAAAUGAAUGGCAGUUGUCCUUCUCAUUCUCAGGGUUGAGUUGUCUUCCCAAGAAGAGAAUUUUGCAAAAAAUAUGCUUUUUAAAACCCCAAAUUGCCUUUUUCAUCUUGAAAAGGAAGCAUCAGAGGAGUUAAGAAAAUUUACCAUGGUUGAAAAUCUACUUCAUUUUCUUUACAGAUUAUUUUGAAUCUGCUUUAAGAAAUGCGUAUGUCCUCUCUAAAUACAUGGUGGAGAUGGUUCAUUGAGUGUUAUGAAAAGAAAGUUUAGUCUCAUUUCCUAAGCAGACUUUUUAACCUGACAGUGCUAAAUGGGGAAGAAUUCUUCGGGAUUAUGGCGUGUGUUUUGAAAGAGAUCCUGUAACAGCUGGUUAUUUUCAGUCAUGUUCCCACUGCAGGAAGAUACUGCUGUUGUAUGAAGUAGGGCGACAGAACCUUGCUAUCCAUGCAACAUUGGAGAGAAAAAAAUUUCCUUUUAUUUAAAACAUUUUUUUUAAUGUUUAUCUGUUUUUGAGAGAGAGAGAGACAAGAGUGUGAGCAGGGGAGGGUGAGAGAGAGAGAGGGAGACAGAAUCCGAAGCAGACUCCAGGCUCUGAGCUGUCAGCACAGAGCCCAACGUGGGGCUCGAACUCACAAACUGCGAGAUCAUGACCUGAGCCGAAGUCGGACACUUAACCGACUGAGCCACCCAGGCGCCCCUCAUUUUAUUUUUUAACAUCCACAUUUUACUCUUUUGCUUAUAGAAUAUGUAUUCAUGUGAAAAACUAAUGAACCUACUGGCAGUUUCAGAUCCUGAAGAUCUAGAAAAAAAUUUAUUUUUAAGUCUCCAAAUGGGUGGAGCUUGUGACCUUCCCAGUCAUUUCUAUGACAGAGAAUCUGCGUAUUGAACAAGUCUCGAACUCCCCUUUUCUUAACUUACAAGGUACUGGCCUACUUGAUAAUUCUGAUCCAAAAGCUUGAAUCAUUUUGGGGUGAGAUUUCUGUGAGUUCACUGUAUGGUGUACUCUGUGGCCAUGAGAAAUCCAUCCAUCAGGUACAUUUCUGAUUGCACACAGGUAAAUGGUUUAUAGACUGUUAGCCCGCACUGCUGGUUUAGAUUUGAGGAAUUACUCUACAAGAACAAGGCAGGUUCUAUUUUUGACAUUUCAGCAAUGAGACCACUUGUACAUUAUGGCCUGAUUUGAUUUACUGUAAGAAAAUAAGAGUGCUGUAAUUUGUAAAAGACAUUUAUUACAUGAGUCCAAAAAUUAAAAAAAAAAAAAAAUGCUUAGUGUCUCUGUCCAUCCCAUCUGGUUUUAUUUUAAUCUCACUCCACUCACAUAUGAAAUUUUGCUUAGCUGUCUUCAUUUUCUUAGUCAAUCUUGAUUAAUGGCCUUCAAAGUAAAAAUAAUUG